rnacentral:rRNA from 1 species
UAAUUGAAGAGUUUGAUCAUGGCUCAGAUUGAACGCUGGCGGCAGGCCUAACACAUGCAAGUCGAGCGGCAGCACAGAGAA